rfam:Oryza sativa Japonica Group DNA, chromosome 7, cultivar: Nipponbare, complete sequence.
UUUAAGGUAGGAUGCCGUUUAUUUUUUACCCAACGUUUGACCAUUCGUCUUAUUAAAAAAUUUUUAUGUAAUUAUUAUUUAUUUUAUUGUGACUUAAUUCAUCAUCAAAUAUUCUUUAAGCAUGAUAUAAAUAUUUUCAUAUUUGCACAAAAUUUUUGAAUAAAACGAAUGGUCAAACGUUGGUCGAAAAGUCAACGGUGACAUACA